rnacentral:misc_RNA from 1 species
UGGUAGAAAACAAGCCGCUUGUAUUAAAGCUCGUCGGUAGGAAUGCAAGCUUUAAAUAUCAAAUAUACAGAAAAGAAAACGGCACCUCAGGCACGUUCUUACGGUUUUGUCUUUGUCAGGGUGGGAUACUGGUUUCCAUUAUUCAUACUAGCUGUCAUUGCUACACUCCAGGAUAAUGAAAAUGAAAGUAACUACCCUUACAAAACACUCAAAACCCAAAACAGGAAAGAGAUAACGCAAACACUGCAAAAGACUCCUUAGGUCGAAG